GACGAACGCUGGCGGCGUGCUUAACACAUGCAAGUCGAACGAUGAACCACUUCGGUGGGGAUUAGUGGCGAACGGGUGAGUAACACGUGGGCAAUCUGCCCUGCACUCUGGGACAAGCCCUGGAAACGGGGUCUAAUACCGGAUACUGAACCUUACAGGCAUCUGUGAGGGUCGAAAGCUCCGGCGGUGCAGGAUGAGCCCGCGGCCUAUCAGCUAGUUGGUGAGGUAAUGGCUCACCAAGGCGACGACGGGUAGCCGGCCUGAGAGGGCGACCGGCCACACUGGGACUGAGACACGGCCCAGACUCCUACGGGAGGCAGCAGUGGGGAAUAUUGCACAAUGGGCGAAAGCCUGAUGCAGCGACGCCGCGUGAGGGAUGACGGCCUUCGGGUUGUAAACCUCUUUCAGCAGGGAAGAAGCGAAAGUGACGGUACCUGCAGAAGAAGCGCCGGCUAACUACGUGCCAGCAGCCGCCGUAACAC
rnacentral:rRNA from 1 species